AUAAAAUAGGCAAACCUUAGCAUACCUUGAACUAUUAGAAAGUGCUGGUAAAGGGAAACCAACAAACCUGACAGGCCCUAAGUUCUUACUUUCUUUGAAAAGAGAUGGCCCAACCAUAUAGCCCAUAUACAAGUCAAAUCUCUCAGAUCUUUCUGGGUAAAAUCCCUCCCUCUCAUUCUCCUUCCCUUUACUUGCAAUUCCACAUGCCCACACAAUACUGGAGAAAUUUGGCCAUGCAAGGAGCUGUGCCAGGAUGAAUCAGCCCCUGCAGCUAUGCAGAAACAGGCACCACAGCCCCACUGCUCCUGUGCUGGAAAGGGUUUCUGUAGAAGAUUCCUGCAAAUUAAAAAUUGUAAACUGAUCUGAUCUGGGCUUCUGAAAAUGUGAAAUGAAAUAUGUAUUGCACAACAUGAAAAGCAACCACAAUGAAGACAGAGUAGGCUGGAUCAUCUGCUGGGAUUUAUGGCUUAUUGAUGCUCCUACUGAUUCCAGCAAAUGAGCCCGCUCAAGAUAACAGUUAUAAAGAAACUUUCAAGCCUUGUACAAUUGCUACACUCGUUUAACAGCCAAAUGAAUCAAACAGAUACAGAAACUAUUGAAGAGGCUUGAGUGGAGAAGUAGAAGAGCCAGUAUUGCUCCUGCCAGGCAUUGCCUGCCAAAAACAUUAGGAAGCUUUCUCUAUAUCUAAUAUUAGACAGCAGAACUGGACCUCUAGCUACUGUCUCCAGAAAUGCACCCAGCAGGAAUGAGCAUGUCUCCACAUGACAAGGCAGGAGAGCACAUAUGUCGUGCCAGGCGAUCACCACGCUUCAGGCAGGUUAUCAGAGAUGAUGCCAGAGGCCGGGUGCUGCCGGGAGCAAUGUGCUUUGCCCGCAGGAGUGAUGCUUCUUCGGCAGAGCACAGCAUAUGAUGCUGCUGUGGUUUUGA